UCUCGGUGAUGAACAAAAAACGAUGACGAGUCCGAUCUCUCUUAUUCCAUUCUUCUGUGACGACAAAUCGAGGCAUUUGUCUGAGAGAG